CUUUCUGGGAGCAGCUUUAGGAGUCUGUGUGGUUGUGAUCUCUGCUCAAGCCUUUAUAAUCUGUAAAAGGAGAAACAGUGACCGCUGCAAUGGGAGAAAAGAACAAGGUUCAUCAGCAGAGAACACAACCAAUCAGACUGCUGAGAGUCUGAAUUACGCUCCCAUCCAUUUCAAAGAGAACAAAGCCAAACCUGGACGAGUGAAGAGAGAACAGCCUGAAGACAUUGUUUACUCUCAAGUGAGAAGCUCUAAUGCUAAAGCUCAUCGGUCUCAUCGCUAGAUCUCUUUCCUGUAGUGAGCAGUAGUGAAGUUUGGGGAUGUUUGUAUUUUACUGGGAUAUUCAGAGCUGCACAUGAUCUCCAGAUUAGUUUAAUGAUGUUUGCUAUGGUUUCUCUUGAUUUUGGACUGUGAGGGUGUUUGUUGUUUUUGUUAAUAUUUGCCAGGAUCUUCAGUGAAGUGCUGUACUUUGUUAAAGUCCCUACUUUGCUUGAACCUGGGUGAAAAAUGUGCAGUUCAGUAUGAAGUUUCAUUUCUCUAAAGGACUGUGUGAGGACGUUUUUAGAGUGAGUGUGGUCACUAUAAUCUUUCAGUUAAUACCGAUGGUCUCUGACAAUGUGCAGCUUUCAUACGACGGUGUUGUAUUUUUGAAGGCAGCCUAAAGGUUUGACAGAAAAGUUAUUUCAGAUUUUAAUGGGAAUUUUCUCAUCAUUUGUUUUUAUCCAUCACUGAUCAGUUAUUAAACACAACAAUUACACUUCCAGAGCAACAGUGCUGUUUACACAGUACACUGAGUG